UCAUUUAUUUUUUAUUUGAACAAUAUUUAUGUAAUUAUUAUGAAUAAUUACUAUAAUCUUUUCCAUUUGUAUGUUUGUUCAAUAUAAAUCUUGGGUUAAGUAAAGUUUAAGGUAUGGCGCCAAAUUUCAAUUUUUUCCUGGUUUGACCGGUGGCUAUCCUAUGACAACGCUAAAGUGGUCUGUUCUGCAAGGUCAGGGGUCGCUCUUUUCGACUUGUCACUCCGUUAGGGUCAGACGUUUUUUUUUCUGUUCCCUUUGUCGAUAGGGUUAGUUUGUGACCACGUGCUCCUCGUGAUGAUUGCUAUCGCUAAGAAAUUGCCUCGGUUUGAAAUCCAAAAGAAAUUCCUUGUCCAAAAGUAUUUCGUUCAUUUCUUGACCAUUUUUAUGUAUUCUUUUUGUGCUUUAAAUAUGUUUAAUAUUUGCUAAUCGAGGUUUUUUGUCUGUUUUAUCAUUGGUUGGCCCCCCCAUUAGAAUCGUUAAAAGGGUUAAUUUUUUGUCUGUUUUAUCAUUUUUUAAGUAAAAAUUGCUUCAUUUCAUCUUUUUAAUGAUAUUUUAUUUAAUAAUAAUUAAUUAUCCUGUAUUGGGGGGGCUGCCCCCCCCCCCCCCAAUUAGAAUCAUUAAAAGGGUUAAUUUUUUGUCUGUUUUAUCAUUUUUUAAGUAAAAAUAGCGCUAUUUUGGAGCAAUCUAAGAUGGAGAACAGUUGGCGAAUUUUGUAGAAUUUGGCGAUAUUUUGGCGCAGUUUGGCAAGGGUCCGUACCUUAAACUUUACUUUUACCUAAAUCUUUUCUCAUUCAGAUGCACACAAAAAAUUCAUCCGAAUUUAGAAAAAUUUGACUUCAGAGCAACAUUUUACAUAUAUUUAUACCCUCUAAUAUUGUUGUCCAGUCAUCAGUAGCACUUCCUACCAAUAUAUUGCAAAUAAUAUAGUAUCAAUAAAUUGUUAAAGAGUAUAUAUUUCCAAAGAAUAAUUAUUAAUUGAAACAAAUGUUUUCAAACUUAAUUCAAAAUUAUUUAACUUGCAUUUAUUAUUGAUUAAAUAUAAAAAUGAAAUUUUAUCACACAAAACAGUUUUGUUCAUCGAACUAAUUAACACUAUUUGCUAAACAUUUUAUUAUUAUUUUUUAAUUUCUAUUACAUAGCAAAGACUUUUGCAGUUUAAAAUUAUUGCAUUGCUCAAUUUAACAUCAAAACAAAGUCCCAUAUACAUUUUUGUUAUGAGGAGUAACUGCAAAGUUUUUGCAUUCAUGCUAGAACAACCCCCCCCCCUUUCCCCCCUUGUAACCAUGUUAAAAAUACUUCCAUUACUAGUAUUGCUGUGAGUGAAGAUUUGGAAAGAGGGCAUUUUUAGCACUUUUUUUAUAGUUUUUUGUAAUUUCUUAUUAUAUAUCCAUAACUGUGUAGUUUUCUUCGAAUUUCCAUAGCAAGUACAGAAAUUUUAUAGCUGUUGGAUGGUGGUGCUUUUGUACUUGAAGAAUUGCUGAUAUACUUUGAAUAUUGUGCACUGGCUUGUAAUAAUUUGCAUCAGAAGAUUUUUACCACACGCUGCUGGAUAUAACAUUCUUUAUUGACAAUUAAUAGAUACUUUUGGGUAAUAUUUAAAAACAAUGAUUCUGAUUAAAAUUUAUUGUGCAAAUCAUUAUAAUGCAAAAUAAGUAUUUAAAUCAAUAUUUCAUGGCUAAAAGUUUUUCAAAAAGUAGAUUUUUUAGUUGAGAAUGCUAAAUGCCUUUCUCCAGAGGAAGGUAAAUUUUAUAGGCAGAGAGUAAAAAAUAUGAAAAAGUGUUUUGUACCAUGUUUAGAAAGAUAUAUUUUCUGCAUUUUUCUUUCAUUAUGAUGUAAAAUCAUAUCUGCCUAUGAUGAAAGUCUUAUUCUCCUAUUCAUCGAUUUAUUAUAUAAUAUUUGUUGAAUUAGUUCAGAAUUUUUAAAAUACUUUUGGAAUGAUUUUUUCAAAUUUUUUUUUUACAAUAAAUAUCAAUGCACUAGAAACAUGCAACAACAUCUUUCAAUAAAUUUCUAAUAAUUCUUUUGAUUGAUUUGAAGAUCUUUGACCUUUUUAAUCACAUAUUUUUAAUCGCAUAUUAUUGUUUAGGUAAUAUAAAGUUUAUUUUUCUUUUUAAUGAUUCUUGCAAGUAAAUUGUAUUAAGUAUAUUUUACCUUAAUUUUCUAAAUUCUUUUUUCUUGAUCUUGCCAUGUUUUAUACAUUACACAUAAUUUGUAUUACUUACACUUAGUCAAAUGAUAUUGAUUUUUAUUCUAAGGUAUAUUGAAAUAGUUAUCUUCAGAUAUUUUCUUAUUCCGCAUGCAUAUAGUAUUUAUUUUUUUACUUUAAUAACAAUAAUUCUUUUUAUACAUUCUUUAUCUGAGAAAAUAUCUCAUCAGGUUAGAUGAGUCAAAUAAAUAGUUUGAGGAAGUACUGAAGUGUGUCAUUGUAACAAAUAAUUUCAGUCCAAAUGGUGCCUAUGAACUAGAGGUUUAUUGUGAUUGUAAUCUGUUGAUUUUGCUGUUCAUGUAAUAGGAAGUUUUCCUGUCUGGAGUUGCAAAAUAUAUUUUUGUGCUGUUUGUAUUAUAUUUUACCUGAAUUAAACUUGCAUUGAAUGGCUAUUCAAUUGUUGUUUCAAUUCAUAAUACAUCAUUGAAAAUCCUAAUCUUGCAUUCUAUAUGUAUGUUAAGUUCACAAUGUGCAUUGAAUUGUAAUAACUAAAAUUUUAUUCUACUUGUCUAAAAGUAUCAUAAUGUAGUUUAUUCAGUAGCUGUUAAGGUGGCUCUUGAUAUUUCUCGUAAUAAUUUUGUCCUUUGUUGUUGAUGGCACUGUAUAUAUUAUGAUACUUUUCUAUUUCAAAUACUACUUUUGGAUUUGACUUGAGAAAAUUCAGGCAUGUUUAGAACAUUGAAGAGUGGUCAGUAAUAAAUUAAAUUUUACAUGGAAAUAUUAAAUAAGUUACUUAUAUUAAAUGUAAUGUGCCUCCCUAUUCUUGCUUUAAAAGACAAUUAAUUGACUGUACAAUCUUACUAGACAUAUCUUUUUGUUAUAUUAUGAAAUAUUUUUGUACACAAUUAAAAUAUUUUGUGAAUGCAAUUGUAUUUCUAAUUUUCACAUUUAAAUAUAGUUUUUUUAAGAAGUUUCCAUCAGUAUUCAUUCUCAAAUUCAGCUUUGAAACUAUUAAUGUUAAUUUAAAUGUUAUGUCAUUCUUGAAAUGAAUUCCAAAAUUUAAGAUAAUACUGAGGUUUUAUUUCUUUUUUUACUGUUGUUGCAUUUGCUAAUUUUAUUUCGAGCAUUUCUUUUGAAUUGACAGGAAGUUUACUCUUACUGAAAAUGCACAGUAUAAUGUAUGAUAUGUGUGUAUUUAAACUGACUAGCCAGUCUCAUCAUAUUAUUUGCCUACUUUGUGGAAAUUGUUUUAAUUAGAUUUGGAAAGAGAUUUCAGAAAUUUCCAAAAUUUUAAAUGUGAAACAAAAUUCAAAUUCAAAAAAAAAAGUGUGUGUUUAUUCUAAUUUAUCUUUUUAUCAUUACAUCAUAAUACUCAUUCCAUGACGCUUUACUAACUUUUUGAAUUCAUGUUACAUCACUUAAAAUCUUUUUAACUUGAAAACUAUAUGCACAUCAAGUAUAUUGUGUGCAUGAAAGUUUUAUAUCAGCUAGAAUUCAUUUUCACUCUGCAUAGAAUGCUGUAUAUUUAUAGCUGUUGUGGAGGCCUUUUGAUAUUUCUCAUUAUUAUUCAGUUUCUUGAUGCUAAUGGAAUUAAAUAUAUUAUUUUCAUAGCAGGUGAUGCUUUUGGACAUAAUUCAAAGACUUUUCGGUGAAAAUUAAGCAGUGGUAAGAAAUAAAUUAAAUUUUGCUUUAUUAUGAAAGAUGAUAGCUUGCAUUAAGUGUGCUAUGGCUCCAUGUACUUUAAAAGCCUAAUAUUGUUUUGAAAUUCUUAUUAGGCGUAAAAGUUUUGUUGCAAAACUAUGAAAUGAUUGUGAUCACAUUUAAAACGCGAUUCCCUUAAGAAGGCUUGCAUCAUUGAUCAUUGUAACAUUCAGCUUCUUGCGUAUUUUAGGAUUAAUACUCAUGAACAUCUCUAUUAUGUUUGAGAAUGAUGGCAAAAUUACAAUACAUACAAAUUAAAUUUACUAUGUCAGGAGAUUUUAGAACUAGUAGAUGGUGCUGCAUACAAUUUUUUGUAUUAUUUAGUAAAUGUUAAUUCUCCAUAAUAUUCAAAGCAGCUGUUCCAAUAUGUGCAGAAAUGUGUUGUGUAAAUAUUCAUGAUGUAAAGUACUGAAAUAAAAAAAUAAAAAUAAGAAUUAUGUCUAAAAAUAUUUGAAAGAGUUAUUUUCUAAUAGGGAAUGGUAAAUAUCUUUCUCUAGAUAAUUAAAAUUAAGUUUUUUUAAGCAUGGAGUUAAAAAUAAGAAAAUGCAAGAUCUAUAAGAAAUGCAACAAAUCAACAAUCUGUACAAAGAUACAUCAGUAAUUGAGUAUUUUCUUUUAUGAAUAUAUAAAAUCAUUUCUGCUGAUUAUGAAAAUUAUAUUUUGUUAUUCUUUGAAUAGUUCUGUGAUAAUUAUUGGAAAGAAUUUUAGUUUUUUUGGGAUGUUACUAAAUUUUACUCGUAACUGUUUUUGUGUUUUUAUUGAAAUAUUUAAUAAAUUUGUUAUUUCAAAUAUUUCUUUUUAAUGGUUUGAUACAUCUCUUCUCUUUGACUGCAUAUUUUUAGUGUUAGUUAAGCAGUAUAAAAUUUACUUUUGUUAUGCAUCAUUUUUUGAUGUAAAUUGCUUUAAAUACUUCUGUCUCCAAUAAUUUUUAUAUUUCAUUUUCCUUAUAAUAAUUUGUUCUUUGAUAUUGAUGGUUAUGUUUCUAUUUCAGAUAGUUACUUUUUGAUUUCACUUGAGAAUAUUCUGAUAUAUUGUGUAUAUUGACGAGUGGUUAGUGUGGGUGAGGCCGACAUGCAAGAGAUGAUCGAUCUAGGGAAUGAGAUGGUUCCAACUAACGAUGCGAGGUUGUUGCCUGUUUAUAAAAGUUUCUUCAGUGAGGAAUGGAAAUCCUUCACAAGGAAACAAGAUGGACUGCUAUGGUGUUUGUGGAAGAUGGAUGGAAUCCCCUAUCUGAUUGAAUUUGCUAUGAAAAUUUAUUUCAUAUACGAUCGAUAUAUGUGCCAGAUGGACGCAUGGACCAGAUUAGGGGAACUCACCAUAGAGUCCAUCUACUCUUCCCCAGGGCCAGAAAGUUGUUUGGGAGAUUGCCCGAUAUGUACUGAGCCUCUGCAUAGGAAAAUAACGACUUCAUGCGGGCACAACUUUCAUGGGGAAUGUCUAGAAAUGUGGAUGAAAGAAAACAUUUCUUGUCCACUGUGCCGAAAGAACCUCUGCGGUUAUGCUUGGAAUUGUUUAUGAAUGUCCUCUGAAAGUCCUCCAUGGAGAAAAAGAAUCAAAAGAGUGAAGAUGAACCUUUUAUGUGAUUUGUGGGAGGGAGGAUACAGAAAUCAGUUGUUUGUUAAUUGCUUGUUUUUCUUCUAAUGUGCCACUCAGCUGAGCUCAAUUCAGGAAUUUUUAUGCUUUCAAAAACUAUUCAUUGUAGAGCCAUAUUGCUGCCUAUCCUACGUUUUGAUUUCAAAAAAAAUUAAAUUAAAAUUUGUUUUCAUCUACAUGGCUGGCAGUUUUCAUUAAUUAGAUGUUUUAAUACUUUAAUUUAAAGUAAAUUUAGCAAUGUGUGUUAAUAUGAAUGCAUUUACAUGUAUAAAUAGCAAAUUUGAUUUGUUUUUGUUUGCUACUAUAGAUUAAAUAAGUUGAGCAUAAACCAGAAAAUACCCAUGCCUAAAAUAAUUUCUGGAAAAAAGUUAUCAAUGGUAAAUUUUUUAGUCUUGCAUAAUAUGGAUUAUUUGCAUUUCCAUUCAGUUAUCAGGUUGACCUGUAAAAGAAAAACUCCGAAUCUUUAGGAUCUAUAUUAAAGAGAGGAUGGGUGAUUUUUAAAAUUUGAUGUUAAAAUAACUGCUUUACAGAACCAGGGGGUGAAAAUUCUUCAGGCAAACACCUUGUAUAUUGUAAUAAUAAUUACUAGCUUCUCUUUCUUAUGGAAAUAAGAUAUGAUUUUGAUUUGAGGCCUAUUAUAAACAAUACAAGCAGAUGAUUAAAAUGUAUGUUGCCACACAAUGUCUAUCAGUUAUUUUCGCUUUCAAAUUCUCAUUCUGGAAAAGAAUAUCAAAAGGUCUUGAAGAAACUCUGCUUUUAGGAACGUCAGAGGUCUAUUCAUGUAGAUCUAAAUAUUGCCUCCUUCCAACAGUUAUGGGAGAUACUCCUGUUUUAUUUGAUUGCAACAUAGUAAAGAAUGCACUAAUCAAAACAAAUGAAAUGGCAUUUAAAAGAAAACCUAGCUAUAAGUGCAGUAGAUAUUAUCAGGGAUCCUUAGAAUGAUAGAAAUCAUAAUUCUUCCAAUUUAAAGAAAUAAUUGAUUUGGACACAAAAUAAUAAUGAUGGUUUCUUUCAAUAUGUUUACAGCAUUUUCUGGACUGAAUAAUAAAAAUCUACAAGCAGAUAUUUUUUACUUUCCAGAAAUUCCUUAAAGAGUCAAUAUCAGACAUAGAUAUGGAAAGUUUUUUUUUUUUUUUUUGCACGGUUAUGUUUCACAUUAGUUAUUUAGAAUCUUUCAGGUUAUAACAAAGCAGAAAACAAUAAAGAAAUGGUGCAAAGUAUGCUGAAAAAUUGUAUUUCAAUAUAAGCAUAAAGGUUCAUUUUCUACAAAGUAAUUUGAAUACAUCUUCUUAAAAUCUGGGACAUAUCAGUAAUAUACAAAAAGGGAAGUUCCAUUAGGAUACCAUAGUAAUGAACCUAAAGCAUCAAAGUAAAUUUACUGCUUUAUUUUAUUUGUUCAUUCAUUCAUUUUGUUAAAAAAAAAAAUUUCUAACUUAUAUAUAAUAUUAAUUUGUAUACUGAUUGAAUUUUUGAUUUAUAUAUUGAUUAUUUUUCACAAUAAAGACUGUUUGUGGCAA